rnacentral:rRNA from 1 species
AAGUCGAGGGGCAGCGGGAUUGAAGCUUGCUUCAAUUGCCGGCGACCGGCGCACGGGUGGGUAACGCGUAUCCAACCUUCCGUACACUCAGGGAUAGCCUUUCGAAAGAAAGAUUAAUACCUGAUGGUAUGAUGAGAUUGCAUGAUAGCAUCAUUAAAGAUUUAUCGGUGUACGAUGGGGAUGCGUUCCAUUAGGUAGUAGGCGGGGUAACGGCCCACCUAGCCAACGAUGGAUAGGGGUUCUGAGAGGAAGGUCCCCCACAUUGGAACUGAGACACGGUCCAAACUCCUACGGGAGGCAGCAGUGAGGAAUAUUGGUCAAUGGACGAGAGUCUGAACCAGCCAAGUAGCGUGAAGGAUGAAGGUCCUACGGAUUGUAAACUUCUUUUAUAAGGGAAUAAACCCUCCCACGUGUGGGAGCUUGUAUGUACCUUAUGAAUAAGCAUCGGCUAACUCCGUGCCAGCAGCCGCGGUAAUACGGAGGAUGCGAGCGUUAUCCGGAUUUAUUGGGUUUAAAGGGAGCGCAGACGGGUCGUUAAGUCAGCUGUGAAAGUUUGGGGCUCAACCUUAAAAUUGCAGUUGAUACUGGCGUCCUUGAGUGCGGUUGAGGUGUGCGGAAUUCGUGGUGUAGCGGUGAAAUGCUUAGAUAUCACGAAGAACUCCGAUUGCGAAGGCAGCACACUAAUCCGUAACUGACGUUCAUGCUCGAAAGUGUGGGUAUCAAACAGGAUUAGAUACCCUGGUAGUCCACACGGUAAACGAUGGAUACUCGCUGUUGGCGAUAUACUGUCAGCGGCUUAGCGAAAGCGUUAAGUAUCCCACCUGGGGAGUACGCCGGCAA